GAAACAUAAACUACUAAAAAUACAACAGGAAAGUUUAAAAAAAGAUUUGACAAGGCAGGAGUCCAGUGUGAUGAUGCAUUUUGAGACAAAGGCAAUGGCAGCAUUUGGACACACGAGAAAGCAGGAGGCUUGGGAAAUCUAGGUCUGCAACAG